AAAGCAAACCUAAAGUGGUAAAAGCGGCAUUCAGUUUAAGAUGCCCUAUAGCAUGAAAAUUGGCAUGAUAACACACAUACAGAGAUUGGAAAUAUACCAGAGCCUCUAAAAUUUCAUAUCUUUUUAAAGUGAGGGAAUAGAGAGUAUAAAUUUAAAUGACAGCCUGGGUUAGAAAAUAGCUUAAUGAUUAGAAUGUACCAAAUGAUACAACAGCUGCCUUUUGUCUCAAGGAUAGAGCAUUAAUAGCAAUCAGCAAAUGGUUUCUACGCUUGCAUGAUAUAUAUUAAAUGUUCUAGGACCUCGUGGACCAGUGAAAAUUCCUCAGUGCAUCAGCUGCUUCGGACUUCUGGCUAUCUGCUUGUCAUAUUUUGGUAAUUCUUAAAAUAGUUCAAACAUUGCACCAGCAAAAAGAUUAUGACUCACUGAAGGCUUGGAUGAUGGUUAGCAUUUUUUAGCAAUAUAAUGUUUUUUAAUUAAGCUUUGGGAAAAAAUAAAACCCGGAAGAGGAAAGAGCCUGAUGCUUUGGAGAAUUGCUAACCAUCAUGAUUCACACAUACUGCAGCAACAUGGAUGGAACUAGAAACUCUCAUACUGAGUGAAGUAAGUCAGAAAGAGAAGGACAAAUACCAUAUGAUAUCACUUAUAUCUGGAAUCUAAUAUAAGGCACAAAUGAAUCUUUCCACAGAAAAGAAAAUUUCAGUUUCCCAAACAACCAAAGGCACCUGAUUUGUGAAACUGAUCCGUGAAGUCCAGGGACAAAUUAUCCUGACUGUGAGGAUAGCCUCAGUUAAGACAACUAUGUAGCCAAAAGCACCAACUGCCUUAGUGACAAAGCUUAUAGGUUUUCUUCUCUAUCAGUGAAUGAGUCAGUAUCCACAAUAUUGCACAAAUACUUGUCUGUUUUUUAAUGGGAAAUACGUUUUCUCUGCUUUCAGAUAUAUUUUCAAGUCAAGAAAUUCAGAAAAAGAAAUUAAAAAAUCAUCUCACUACUUAGGAAAAAAACAAUUCAAUCAUUUAAUAAUAUAUGUGACUCAGUUCUUUUUUUUUCUUUCCAUUACAUUUUUUGUGUGUGUGCCUUUUUGUUUUUUUCCCUCAGGGCUGCAUCCAUGGCUUAUGGAAGUUCCCAGUCUAGGGCUCAAAUUGGAGAUGUGGUUGCCGGCCUGCACGACAGCCAGAGCAACGCCAGAUCCGAGCCUCAUGUGACCUGCACCACAGCUCAUGGCAAUGGCAGAUCCUUAACUUACUGAGCAAGACCAGGAAUUGAAUGUGAAUCCUCAUGGAUACUAGUCAGGUUUGUUACGGCGGAGCCACAGUGGGAGCUCCAUCAGUACAUUUAAGUACAUAUACAGUGUAUCUAAAAUCAUAUGCCCUUACUCAUUUAAACUUUUUUUAACUUAAUAAUUUUACCAAUAUUUAAAUAUUCUUCUAGAAGAAAAUUUUAAGUGCUAUAUUGUAUUGUAUCAAAUAACUGAAAAGACAUUUACAUUGCAUAGACUUAUUGAAUUCUUUAGCACAGGAAAUUGUUUUUCUCCUGUUUUUCAGUAUAAUGAAAGUGAAUUUUAAUAGAAAAUUAUGGCCAAUAAGGGAAUUAUCAGAUACGAUAACUUAUUUUUAAAAAUUUAUGUUGUUCAGUUGUCCUCCAGGAUAUUAUAAUUUACAUUUAUAGCAGAACCUUUAAAGGGCUCUUAUUUCUUUACUUGCAGGAAACUUGGGUAGUAUUUCUGUGUUAUAUGAGACAUAUAAAUUAGCUUUUCUGUGACUUGUACCUCAUGAGCAAAAUGGGGAAAAUACUAGUAUCUAUCUGCGUCAGGCCUCUGAUGUUCUUGAUGGUAAAUUUAGAUUAGGGAAAUAUUAUUUUGUUGUUAUUUUGAUUUUAGAAUCAGUAUACACAUUUUCUAAUUGCCUAGAUCCUUCUUAAGCAUUUAUAUUUAACUUAUGAUUUUUCUUAUUUACAAGGCUAAGAAAUUUGAAAAACAUUUUAAAAUGGCCUUUGAAUAAUACUUGGUAUCAUUAAUGUAUACAAUUGAAUUAAGGCAGAAUGCUUAAAAUACAAUUUAUACCGUUUGUAAUCAUUUUAACUCAUUCAAUUAUUUGAUUUAAAAUAUUUAUAGGAACUUAAGAAUUGAAAUUAUAAAAACUUAUCAGUAUGGCAAAAGUGUUAUAAAUGUAAUACUGUGCAUAAACUUAAUAAAAUUUCAAAUUAAAAUGAAAAGUCUGCAGUUCCCGUUGUGGCGCAGUGGAAACAAAUUCGACUAGGAACCAUGAGGUUGCGGGUUUGAUUCCUGGCCUCGCUCAGUGGGUUAAGGAUCCUACAUUGCUGUGAGCUGUGGUGUGGGUCGCAGAGGCAGCUAGGAUCUGGCAUUGCUGUGGCUGUGAUGUAGGCCAGUGGCUGCAGCUCUGAUUAGACCCCUAGCCUGGGAACCUCCAUAUGCCAUGGGUGUAGCCUUAAAAAUAAAGGCAAAAAAAAUAAUAAUAAUAAAAUAAAAUGGAAUAAAAUGAAAAGUCUAAAUAGAUAACUAAACAACAUAUUUGAAAUUGUAAUUAUGAAGCUAUUUUAUUAAAUUUACGGGUCAGAUUUUCUUAAAAUAACUACUUGUACUUAACUUAUCUCUGAGGAAUAAAGGAAAAUAAGAAAUAAUAGGAAAAUAAUAGAGCAUUUGUUUUUCUCAAAUAUCUCUUCAUCAAACUCUAAACUUUCCUGGUUUACAAUUUGAUUAUCCAUAAGUAUAUAAUUUGAUUAUGUUUUGGGACAUAUCUUAUCAGUACAAUAUUUUUAGUUCUUUAAAAAAUAUUUUAUUUAAAAUUAAUGUAAAAUAAAACUGACUCUUAAGUGAUCUAUAGUUCUACGAAUUUUAUCACACGUAUAGAAUUGUAUAACUCCACCAGAAUUGGAAUACAGAAGAUUUCUGUUAUCACACCUUCCAAAAUUCCCUGGUGUUGCCCUUUCUAGUCACACAUUGCCACUGCCUUUACCCCUGGAAAUGACCCAACCAUUCUCUCUCAUCACAGUUUUUUUUGCUAGAAAGUCAUGUAAAAGAAAUCAUAGAGUAUGUAAUUUUUAAAGACUGGUUUAAUUGCUUAAAAGAUUUUUACUUUUAUUUUUUAUUAUUAUUAUUAUUAUUUUUUUUGUCUUUUUGCCUUUUCUAGGGCCGCUCCCACGGCAUAUAGAGGUUUCCAGGCUAGGAGUCCAAUCAGAGCUGUAGCCACCAGCCUACACCAGAGCCACAGCAACACGGGAUCAUUGCCGUGGCUGCGACCUACACCACAGCUCACGGCAGCACCAGAUCCUUAACCCACUGAGCAAGGCCAGGGAUCAAACCCACAACCUCAUGGUUCCUAGUCGGAUUCCUUAACCACUGUGCCACGACGGGAACGCCUAAAGAUUUUUAAAUACAGCCCCAUUAUUGUGUUCAUCAAUUGUUCUUUCAUUUUUAUUGUUAGUACUCCAUUGUAAGGAUCAACACAGUGUUUAUCCCUUCACUCACUGAAGGACAUUGCAUUGUUUUCACUUUGAGAUGAUUAUGAAUAAAGCUAUUCUAAAC
ensembl:lncRNA